rnacentral:rRNA from 1 species
GGGGUGCAGCAGGCGCGAAAACUUUACAAUGCUGGCAACAGCGAUAAGGGGACCUUGAGUGCCAGGAUACAAUCCUGGCNGUCGUGAUGCCUAAAAAGCAUUAUAUAGCAAGGGCCGGGCAAGACCGGUGCCAGCCGCCGCGGUAACACCGGCGGCUCGAGUGGUAACCGCUAUUAUUGGGUCUAAAGGGUCUGUAGCCGGCUUGGUUAGUCUCUUGGGAAAUCCGGCAGCUUAACUGUCGGGCUUUCAGGAGAUACUGCCAGGCUCGAGGCCGGGAGAGGUGAGAGGUACUUCAUGGGUAGGGGUGAAAUCUUGUAAUCCUUGAAGGACCACCAGUGGCGAAGGCGUCUCACCAGAACGGAUCUGACGGCAAGGGACGAAAGCUAGGGGCACGAACCGGAUUAGAUACCCGGGUAGUCCUAGCCGUAAACGAUACUCGCUAGGUGUCGGCCACGGUGCGACCGUGGUCGGUGCCGUAGGGAAGCCGUGAAGCGAGCCACCUGGGAAGUACGGCCGCAAGGCUGAAACUUAAAGGAAUUGGCGGGGGAGCAC